rnacentral:lncRNA from 10 species
CAAAAGCAGAGGAGAACAAAGGAAGGAGGAAGUAACUUGUAGAAUGCUGAGAAAAGUAAAAACACCUUCAAAUAAGGAAGAGAAACAGGCUAUGACCUAAUGCUUGCUUGGACUAGUAUGAGCACGCCAAGGCAAAUAUUUAGGCUAAAUUGUAAGAGCUAAGAACAUAAAGUACAUUGAUUUCUUUAUUAUGGCUAGCAGAUAGUUAAGAAUGUUACUAUAGGUCUUUCAAUAAAUUUUGCUUUUAAGGGAAGUUACUAUUUAUUCCUAAUUAAAUGGGGAGACAAGUCUUUCCAGAGGAACUUCUACUUUACUUUUUACAAUUCCUCCUCUUAUUUCAUAAUUCUUCUUCAAACUUGUUUAAUAUGUUUUGACUUAAUUGCUUUGUUUGUCCUUUUAAGAGAAGUAAUUUUUCUGAAUAAGGUGGAGGAGAGUUAGGAGUUAACUCUGUAAGCAUGGCAGAGACAGGUUUUUGUGUAAAACUUCGACGGUAGGGAAUAAUAUAACAGCCUACAAGAAUAAGUACACCAAUAACAACAGCAAAUGAGGGCAAAGCGGCUGAGAUCUUUGAACUCCCUUUGAACUUUGAGAAUGGUGACUGGAAGAUGACAAUUCAUGUUGUUUUCAGGAAAGCUAUGACCGAGAAACCAAGGAACUCACUAUCUUGUCCUCUUGGAUGCCAGCUAUAAAUUGAAUCAAGUUGGACACCGGAAUUUUGACCACUUUCCACCUUUCUAUCGUGGUCAGGUUUCUUCAUGAGAAGAGGAGAUUCGGUCACAGGCAUGUACAGAAGAAGACUGUGUGAAGACACAGAAGAAGUUAUCUACAAACCAACGAGAGAGGCUUCAGAAGAAACCAACAUUGUUGACACCCUGAUCUUGGAUUUCUAGACUCAGGAAUUAUGAGAAAAUAAAUUUUUAUUGUUUAAGCCACC